UGCCUACACAUACUGCCAAAAGUGGGGUUAAAAAAUAAGGAGCCUGUUGGCAGUACAAGAAGAGUGGUCCUAUUGGCUGUUCCUCACCUGGCAACUCUUAAAAUUUACCCAGAAGAACAUGACAUUACUACACAGAUUAAAGACAAUAGAGAACAUCAAUUGGAAGAGCCCAUUAGCAUGACAGAGCUAUCAUUUCAAAAGCCUUCUAAUGGGCACCACUGGACGAUAACAUGUGAUGUGGAGUCUGCAGAAAGACUGGCACAAGGGAGAGCGACACUUGAAUACGUGGUGAGAUGUGUGAAGGGCAUGACAAUGGAUGCAAACACCCUGGUCUUACUCUUCCAGAAGAAAAAGGGAAAACCGAACCUGAAUGUCCCCUGAAAGUGAAGAAAUGUCCAUACUUCUAUUUGCAGAUUGACCUUUGGAAUCUACAUUCAACAUUUGAUACUGUAUGUGACUCCUGAUGAACACGCUGAAGAUACAUGAUGUCCAGUAAUUUUUACUGGGGAUAAUACCUACAACAUACAUAAGAUUAUGUUAUUAAAAUGCAUUUAAAAUUACACAAGACAUUUUAAAAUUACUUAAGAUAAUAUAUAUAAAGAGUUUAACAUAAAUUUCAAUCACCUUGGCUUAAGAUGAUUUAACUGUUUUGUAAGUUAACCAAGACCUACCAUUUACUUCUUAUUUAGUCUGUGGCUGAAUUUGGCAUUUUUGAAAAUCUUUUGAUAUCCUCUGAGAACUUAUUAUUAUUUGUACUAAUUUACUUCCUAAUGAAAGCUAUUAACAAGAUUUAUUUUAGGAAGUUUAUGUCAGAUAGGUUUAUGUCCUUAUAGAGCUUACAAUCUUAAUUUCAAAGAUGAAAAGGAAAGUUGUGUGUGAAACAGCACAGAAUACUUUGCAACUUGUCCCAGGAGUUACAGGGAGCAGCAUGGACUGUGAAAACUCACAUAAAGUUCUUCAAAAUUUACUGUUUCUUUUGCUUCCUGAAAAUUGUAAUCAGUUCCUCUUUUCCUACUUA